rnacentral:rRNA from 1 species
GACGAACCGUCCAACCGUUGUUCGGAAUCACUGGGCUUAAAGGGCGCGUAGGCGGGCUGCCAAGUCAGGGGUGAAAUCCCACGGCUCAACCGUGGAAGUGCCUCUGAUACUGGCGGCCUCGAGGGAGGUAGGGGCGUGCGGAACUUCCGGUGGAGCGGUGAAAUGCGUAGAUAUCGGAAGGAACACCGGUGGCGAAAGCGGCGCGCUGGACCUCUACUGACGCUGAGGCACGAAAGCGUGGGGAGCAAACAGG